CCUACGGGGAGCAGCAGUGGGGAAUAGUGGGCAAUGGGCGCAAGCCUGACCCAGCGACGCCGCGUGAGGGAAGACGGUCUUCGGAUUGGAAACCUCUAUCAGCAGGGAAGACAAAAGGACGGGACCUGCAGAAGAAGCCACGGCUAACUACGUGCCAGCAGCCGCGGUAAGACGGAGGAGGCGAGCGUUAUCCGGAAUGACGGGGCGUAAAGGGUGCGUAGGGGGUGUGGCAAGUUAGUAGCGUAACUCCCAGGCUCAACCUUGGAACUACUACUAAAACUGUUGGCCUUGAGUGCAGGAGUGUCAACCGGCAUUCCUCUUGUAGCGGUUGAAUGCGUAGAUAUUAGGCGGAACCCCAGUGGCGACGGCGUGUUGCUAGCCUGUACCUGACCCUGAGGCACGAAAGCGUGGGGAGCAAACAGGAUUAGAUACCCUUGUAGUC
rnacentral:rRNA from 1 species